CCUACGUGAUGCAGCAGUGAGGAAUAUUGGUCAAUGGGCGCGAGCCUGAACCAGCCAAGUAGCGUGAAGGAUGACUGCCCUCCGGGUUGUAAACUUCUUUUAUAAAGGAAUAAAGUGAGGCACGUGUGCCUUUUUUUAUGUCCUUUAUUCAUAAGGAUCGGCUAACUCCGUGCCAGCAGCCGCGGUAAUACGGAGGAUCCGAGCGUUAUCCGGAUUUAUUGGGUUUAAAGGGAGCGUAGAUGGGUUGUUAAGUCAGUUGUGAAAGUUUGCGGCUCAACCGUAAAAUUGCAAUUGAUACUGGCAGUCGUGAGGACAGUUGAGGUAGGCGGAAUUCGUGGGGUAGCGGUGAAAUGCUUAGAUAUCACGAAGAACUCCGAUUGCGAAGGCAGCUUACUAAACUGCCACUGACAUUGAUGCUCGAAAGUGUGGGUAUCAAACAGGAUUAGAUACCCCUGUAGUC
rnacentral:rRNA from 1 species